rnacentral:lncRNA from 1 species
CAAAUUAAGGGGGAGCCCCCUAUUUAUAGAUACACUGAGUAAAUCAUAGUCAUCGGAUUAACAUGAUUUGGACGCUCAGAAUUACGUCACGUGGCAAAUUAUGAUUGGAUAGAACACAUCAUUAGGGCUGUCAUUCUGUGUAUAUGCAUAUAUCGUACGCACAUUUUUCGGUCUACUAACAUACUGCCACGUCACCGGUCAACUCUACAUAAUCAUUUUAGUCCAAUAGGAUCGUGACACAUCAUCGGUCAAGCCACAUCAUCAGUCAACACCACAUAAGCAGUCAAUGCCACAUCAUUCGUCCAAUCAAAUGCUGCCACGUCAACGGUUAAUGCCACGUCAUCAUAGCAUAUAUGUGAACAGUUCCAUGAACAGUACUGUAUAUGUGAACAUUACUUUUUCUAAUACUCAACACUCAACAUAUCCCCCAACCAGCUUAUUGCUAGUCCUUAGCAAAUUAAGCGAUAAUAUCUAGCAAAAUUCAAACUAAAAUUUGUUUACUAAAUAAAUUAACUUUCCAAAAAAUUGUGUUCUUCCCCUUCGUUAUUCAACCAUCAAUUAACAAUUCAGUAAACCGUCUUUAGUGCUUAGCAAUAUUUAAGAUAAUGAUUAUGGGGCUCAUUAAAGUCCAAAGCAGACAAUAUCUUGUCAGGUCUGGGUUGGGUCAUGACAGAUGGUAUCAGAGCGGCUCUGCAUAUCCCAUUGAGCGAUGGUGGGGCAAACCUCAGUGAGGACGAUGUGUCCCUAAGAGGGAUAUAUGUAACACCCUAGGCAAAUCCCACAUUAGCAAAGUACGGAAGAGAUGCUGGGUUUAUAAGGAGUGAUCCACUCCUUAAUUGGCAAGACGCAUUUUGGGUGUGUUCCCAGGAACAAAACCGGGCGGGCCUUAUUAAGGCCCAAAGUAGACAAUAUCUUAACAGGUUUGGGUUGAAUCAUGACAACGCACAUACAGUAGUGAAAAGAUGUAAUAAAUUACACAUUUUGUUAUAAUAAGGUGUUGUCUAGUGAUCUUAAGUGAGCAAGAAGUUGGGUUUUGAUAAUCUUAUCAUUUUUAGAAGAAGUAAAUAUACACUCCAAAUGAUAUUAUAACAAACAUGCAACAUGGGCACACUAGUCACUUAUUAUACUAGAAGACAUAUUCGGCCAAAUAAUUUUGCCCUAAGGUGUUCUGAGGAAGCACAAUAGAGUUACGGAUGGCAAUAGGCACCGCCUGCAAUGAGUUUGUCAUUACCAAACCCGCAUCCAUACAAAAUUUAAAUUACUAAACCUGCACCCGCAUCCACUGUGGGUUUUAAUUUUUUAAGAAAACCCA